GACGAACGCUGGCGGCGUGCUUAACACAUGCAAGUCGAACGAUGAACCCGGAGCUUGCUCUGGGGGAUUAGUGGCGAACGGGUGAGUAACACGUGAGUAACCUGCCCUGGACUCUGGGAUAAGCGUUGGAAACGACGUCUAAUACCGGAUAGGACCUCGGAUCGCAUGAUCUGGGGUGGAAAGUUUUUUCGGUCUGGGAUGGACUCGCGGCCCAUUAGCUUGUUGGUGAGGUAACGGCUUACCAAGGCGACGAUGGGUAGCUGGUCUGAGAGGACGAUCAGCCACACUGGGACUGAGACACGGCCCAGACUCCUACGGGAGGCAGCAGUGGGGAAUCUUGCGCAAUGCGCGAAAGCGUGACGCAGCAACGCCGCGUGGGGGAAGAAGGCCUUCGGGUUGUAAACCCCUUUCAGUUGGGACGAAGCUUCGUCGGUUAACAGCCGGCUGGAGUGACGGUACCUUCAGAAGAAGCCCCGGCUAACUACGUGC
rnacentral:rRNA from 1 species